rnacentral:rRNA from 1 species
CCUACGGGAGGCAGCAGUGAGGAAUAUUGGUCAAUGGACGAGAGUCUGAACCAGCCAAGUAGCGUGAAGGAUGACUGCCCUAUGGGUUGUAAACUUCUUUUAUAUGGGAAUAAAAUGUUCCACGUGUGGGAUUUUGUAUGUACCAUAUGAAUAAGGAUCGGCUAACUCCGUGCCAGCAGCCGCGGUAAUACGGAGGAUCCGAGCGUUAUCCGGAUUUAUUGGGUUUAAAGGGAGCGAAAGUGGAUUGUUAAGUCAGUUGUGAAAGUUUGCGGCUCAACCGUAAAAUUGCAGUUGAAACUGGCAGUCUUGAGUACAGUAGAGGUGGGCGGAAUUCGUGGUGUAGCGGUGAAAUGCUUAGAUAUCACGAAGAACUCCGAUUGCGAAGGCAGUUCACUGGACUGCAACUGACACUGAGGCUCGAAAGUGUGGGUAUCAAACAGGAUUAGAUACCCGUGUAGUC